GACGUGACUUCAGAGUUUGAUCCUGGCUCAGGACGAACGCUGGCGGCGUGCUUAACACAUGCAAGUCGAACGAGGAUAUACUGAACGGAGGGCUUCGGUUCAAAGGGAGGUAUAUUCGAGUGGCGGACGGGUGAGUAACGCGUGAGCAAUCUAUCCCAGACAGGGGGAUAACACUUGGAAACAGGUGCUAAUACCGCAUAAGACCACAGUAUCGCAUGGUACAGGGGUAAAAGGAGCAAUCCGGUUUGGGGUGAGUUCGCGUCCGAUUAGAUAGUUGGUGAGGUAACGGCCCACCAAGUCGACGAUCGGUAGCCGACCUGAGAGGGUGAUCGGCCACAUUGGAACUGAGAGACGGUCCAA
rnacentral:rRNA from 1 species